rnacentral:rRNA from 1 species
CUUCUCUGGAUGAGUUGCGAACGGGUGAGUAACGCGUAGGUAACCUGCCUGGUAGCGGGGGAUAACUAUUGGAAACGAUAGCUAAUACCGCAUAAGAGUAGAUGUUGCAUGACAUUUGCUUAAAAGGUGCAAUUGCAUCACUACCAGAUGGACCUGCGUUGUAUUAGCUAGUUGGUGGGGUAACGGCUCACCAAGGCGACGAUACAUAGCCGACCUGAGAGGGUGAUCGGCCACACUGGGACUGAGACACGGCCCAGACUCCUACGGGAGGCAGCAGUAGGGAAUCUUCGGCAAUGGACGGAAGUCUGACCGAGCAACGCCGCGUGAGUGAAGAAGGUUUUCGGAUCGUAAAGCUCUGUUGUAAGAGAAGAACGAGUGUGAGAGUGGAAAGUUCACGCUGUGACGGUAUCUUACCAGAAAGGGACGGCUAACUACGUGCCAGCAGCCGCGGUAAUACGUAGGUCCCGAGCGUUGUCCGGAUUUAUUGGGCGUAAAGCGAGCGCAGGCGGUUAGAUAAGUCUGAAGUUAAAGGCUGUGGCUUAACCAUAGUACGCUUUGGAAACUGUUUAACUUGAGUGCAAGAGGGGAGAGUGGAAUUCCAUGUGUAGCGGUGAAAUGCGUAGAUAUAUGGAGGAACACCGGUGGCGAAAGCGGCUCUCUGGCUUGUAACUGACGCUGAGGCUCGAAAG